rnacentral:misc_RNA from 1 species
UCAUUUAGAGGAAGGAGAAGUCGUAACAAGGUUUCCGUAGGUGAACCUGCGGAAGGAUCAUUGUCGAUGCCUCACACAAUCAGUUCGACCGGUGAAUCUGUUUAUUAUCCACUCUCACCGGGGCUGGAUCGGGGGUGUUGUUUGUUCUCGAACACCUACCCCGUCCUCCCUCGGGUUGGCGGGAGGCGGUCGCCUAGUGUGCCUCCUCCCGUCGAACAAAAACCCCGGCGCUUCGUGUGCCAAGGAACUUGAAAUUGUUCGGUGCAGUUUUCGCGGACCCGGAGACGGUGAUCCCGCGGACCUUGCCACGACACACUAUACAAAAUGACUCUCGGCAACGGAUAUCUCGGCUCUUGCAUCGAUGAAGAACGUAGCGAAAUGCGAUACUUGGUGUGAAUUGCAGAAUCCCGUGAACCAUCGAGUCUUUGAACGCAAGUUGCGCCCGAAGCCAUUAGGUUGAGGGCACGCCUGCCUGGGUGUCACACAUCGUUACCCUAAAGCAAACGCCUCUUGUGCGUGUGUGCAGGGUGGAAGCUGACCUCCCGCGGGCCACGACUCGCGGCUGGUUGAAAAUUGAGUUCAUGGCCGGUUAUGCCGUGAUAAAUUGGUGGAUGAGCGUUGCUCGAGACCAAUCCCGUGCGACCCGGUAAAUUUUGGACUCUUUGACCCAGACGCGUCCACGGACGCUCCCAACGAGACCUCAGGUCAGGCGGGGCCACCCGCUGAGUUUAAGCAU